UCCCCAACACAUAUUCACAUAAAGCAACCAUUUAUUCUGAUGUCUCCCUGCUUUGCAGGUUUACUGGACUCAUGCGGGUGGUAGACACGCAUGUGUGUGGGAGUCACGUUUUCUGAAGGACCUACAGGCUGGGAUCCCAGAGGAUUCUUCACUUAUGUUUGACUCAACACUAAGGCAAUGACCCAGAGCUGCGGGUGGAAUUCUACACUGGGACAAAUGAGGACUCAGACAUCGCCUUCCAUUUCUGAGUGCACUUUGGCCAUUGUCUGGCCAUUGACAGCCAUGUGUG
rnacentral:lncRNA from 1 species